CCUACGGGUGGCAGCAGUGAGGAAUAUUGGGCAAUGGAGGCAACUCUGACCCAGCCAUGCCGCGUGAGUGAAGAAGGUUUUCCGAUUGUAAAGCUCUUUCGGAUGUGACGAUAAUGACGGUAGCAUCUAAAUUAGCCCCGGCUAACUUCGUGCCAGCAGCCCCGGUAAUACGAAGGCUGCAAGCGUUGUUCGGAAUUACUGGGCGUAAAGGGAGUGUAGGCGGUUUAGUAAGAUAGUGGUGAAAUCCUAGGGCUUAACCUUGGAAUUGCCAUUAUAACUAUUAGACUAGAAUUACAGAGAGGAUAGUGGAAUACACAGUGUAGCGGUGAAAUUCGUAGAUAUUGGGUAGAACACCAGUGGCGAAGGCGACUAACUGGCUGUACAUUGACGCUGAGGCUCGAAAGCAUGGGGAUCAAACAGGAUUAGAUACCCCAGUAGUC
rnacentral:rRNA from 1 species